rnacentral:misc_RNA from 1 species
AUGCAACAAAAACUUUGAAUGGAAAAUCUAAAAUCAUCCACUUAGAUACAAAAAUUAAGCAUCUCUUAAUUUGAUGGAUGGCUCUGUUCCUUCCGUAGUGGAAGGCUCUCAACCAGAAUUUCUAAAAUUUCUAUGUCCAAUAAAAUAAUUAGUACAUGGAACAUUGGCAAUAAAAUCACUGUUAAAGCAAUCAUUGUUUUUUAUGAUUUCUUGAUAGUCCAACAUUUUUUGAGGUAGGCGUGUGUUUUGAAUGUGAUGACUUCUUCUUUUUAAAAGAGAAAAAAAACUAUGGAGAUGUUUUGAAGAGAAAAAUAUAAAGGUUUUCUGCAUUUGGAUUUGUGAAUUUGCAGGAAAUUUGUAUUUAAGAGUUUAAUUUAAAUUUUUUAGCUGUGGCUCAUGGAGUAAGCACAUAUAUUUAUAUCCACACUC